GGCGUAAAGAGCUCGUAGGUGGUUUGUCGCGUUGUUCGUGAAAUCUCACGGCUUAACUGUGAGCGUGCGGGCGAUACGGGCAGACUUGAGUACUGCAGGGGAGACUGGAAUUCCUGGUGUAGCGGUGGAAUGCGCAGAUAUCAGGAGGAACACCGGUGGCGAAGGCGGGUCUCUGGGCAGUAACUGACGCUGAGGAGCGAAAGCGUGGGGAGCGAACAGGAUUAGAUACCCUGGUAGUCCACGCCGUAAACGGUGGGUACUAGGUGUGGGUUUCCUUCCUUGGGAUCCGUGCCGUAGCUAACGCAUUAAGUACCCCGCCUGGGGAGUACGGCCGCAAGGCUAAAACUCAAAGAAAUUGACGGGGGCCCGCACAAGCGGCGGAGCAUGUGGAUUAAUUCGAUGCAACGCGAAGAACCUUACCUGGGUUUGACAUGCACAGGACGCCGGCAGAGAUGUCGGUUCCCUUGUGGCCUGUGUGCAGGUGGUGCAUGGCUGUCGUCAGCUCGUGUCGUGAGAUGUUGGGUUAAGUCCCGCAACGAGCGCAACCCUUGUCUCAUGUUGCCAGCGGGUAAUGCCGGGGACUCGUGAGAGACUGCCGGGGUCAACUCGGAGGAAGGUGGGGAUGACGUCAAGUCAUCAUGCCCCUUAUGUCCAGGGCUUCACACAUGCUACAAUGGCCGGUACAAAGGGCUGCGAUGCCGCGAGGUUAAGCGAAUCCUUUUAAAGCCGGUCUCAGUUCGGAUCGGGGUCUGCAACUCGACCCCGUGAAGUCGGAGUCGCUAGUAAUCGCAGAUCAGCAACGCUG
rnacentral:rRNA from 1 species